GCCCGCGUGAUGGAAUGGUAGACAUAACAGACUUAAAAUCUGUGGAGCUUAGCUCGUGCCGGUUCAAGUCCGGCCGUGGGUACCA
rnacentral:tRNA from 1 species